UACGUAGGGGGCAAGCGUUGUCCGGAAUCAUUGGGCGUAAAGAGCGCGUAGGCGGCCCUGUAAGUCCGCUGUGAAAGUCAAGGGCUCAACCCUUGAAUGCCGGUGGAUACUGCAGGGCUAGAGUCCGGAAGAGGCGAGUGGAAUUCCUGGUGUAGCGGUGAAAUUCGUAGAUAUCAGGAGGAACACCAGUGGCGAAGGCGGCUUUCUGGACGGUAACUGACGCUGAGACGCGAAAGCGUGGGGAGGCAAACAGG
rnacentral:rRNA from 1 species